AUGAUAAAUCAUUCCCAUAGUCAUACAAUAAAAGUAAAUAACAUUUCUACUGUUCCAAACACACAUAAAACGUCAAAAAAAUGCAGUCUCUUUAAUUAAUUAUUGGCAAAUAGCUAGAAAUCUUUCAAAAUGCGGUCCAUUCAUUUCGCGGUUGCGGUUGCGGUCUCUUCGUUUUGUUGAAGCUCGCCAGCAUCUCUACAAUGGUGCAAUCCACUUUACAAUGCACUGUGCAGUGCCCAUUGCACUUUCUUUUCCACUGCCCUGGCAUUAUCAGCAGAAUCCGCAUAUGUUUGACAAUAUUUUUCCGCGUAUGUUGCAAAUGAUAUAAAUUCUUCAAGCGUCACAUCCUUCUUGCCCUUGUUUCUUCUUCUGGCAGCAGCAGUGGCGGGAGUAGCAGCACCACACCGAUGACAACGCCCAGCCUUCCACCUCACAGCAGCAAACAGAUGCACUCAAUGCAUCUGAGCCAAUGUCACUGACAGAUGCACUCAAUGCAUUAGGUGACAUCGAUUUCACCUGCAAGUUCAAAAUACAGAAAUUUAAUUUAAGCACAAGUGAGGGAAGGAAAAGACCAAUUUAGAUGGUAAGUACUGAAACAUCAAUACAGCACUCAAAAAGAGAAAUAUGUAAUAAGAACCACUUUACUAACCGCCUUAAUCAAGCGUUCAAGAGGCUGCUCGGUAACACUCGAUUUGCCAGAAAUAGUUGACAAAGCAUUAACAUGACUAGCAUCUGGUACAAUAAAUUCAGCAAGCAAAGGAGAUGCCAACAUCCCACUAGUGCCAAUUGCAAGGGACUGGACUGGUGCUCCCACCCCAGCUGCUUGUUGAUGUCCGAUAUUCCCAGCAUUUGGUAGUGAGGAAGGUUUCUCAGAAUCCCCUGGCAUGGGGGAUGGAACCAUGGGAGUUGAAGGAGAUGGGAUGACAACAGGUGAACCGGCAGUUUGCAAUGGUGUUCCAGCUUUCAGGUGAGUCAGUAGAUUCUUGUGGUCAACUUGGGGAGAAGAAUGUUGCGAAAUUUGACGAGAUGCAGCCUGAAUGAGUUGGUUUGAUGAUGGAAUAGGAAAUGGAGAUCCUAAUUUCAACUGCUGAUGUGGAUAAGCACGCUGGCCUGCGGAUAUAUGUUGCUGAAAAACCCCUGGCUUAACACCCAUCCCCUGUCUCAUCUUCAAGUCAUUUGCAUCAUUCAUUUGAUGAAGCAGUGGCAUUUGGUGUUGGUUCGCCUCCAUCUGCGCCGGAAGCUGCUGCUUUGCUUGCUGCAACUGUUGCUGCUGCUGUUGCUGUUGCAGUAUCUGCUGCUUCUGUAUCAAUUGCUGCUGCAUUCGCUGUUGAUACUGUUGCUUCAGUUGAUUCUGAAACAUUUGCUGUUCCUGCUGUUUUAAUUGCUGGUGUUGAAGCAUACCAGAAUUUGACUGAAGGGAGAUAAUAUUUGGCUGAAGCAUACUAACCCCACUCUGCGAUGACAGACCAUUCAUGUUAGCUUGCUGGGGAGCACUGACAGGAGUUUGUUGGAUAGAUCCCACCGGAACUUGCUGCAAAGAGUUCGGUGCAUUUCCCUGUCCUGAAUCCAAAUUUGUACUUGGCUGCAAUGAAUUCAUCAUGUUGCUGUGCUGUUGAAACCCCAGAAAUCGAAGACAUUGAAUUUUGCUCCGAGCUUGUCAUAUAGUUCUGCUGCAUUGUUGGCACAGAACCUUGUAAAUUCAUUGUUUGCAACUGCGGGUUCAUUUGAUUUUCAUGAGACUGCACUUGACGAAUUUGAGACUGCGGCUGCUGCAUGGAGUGCAUAUGAGGUGGGGGGAACUGCCCUUGUUGCAGAGGAUCUUGCUUCCGUGGUCUAUUUGUAUUAAUAAAAUUUACUAUCUGCUUCUCAUAUAAACCCAAAUUAUCUUUCAAACCAGGUGAAACAUUACUCUUGGAAAUCUGUAAGACUGAUAUGAGGCGCUCUAACAUGGUUUUGAACAUUUUUAGCUUCUCAAGCUGCUCUGACUUUGGUUGUUGUGGAAGAGAAUCGUGCUGGCAAACAGAAAGAACAGACGUCAGUAAGCAAAAGAAUGGCAAUAUAAGGAGUAACAACUUUGUUGCGAAAUCUUAUUAGCAUUAUUGGUGAGGUAACAAUCCCAUGUAGACGGUCUACAUGGGUACAAUAAUUAAAAGGGAGAUCAAGGUAGAAUCUAUCAAAGAGUAGCACCACAAUAACCUAGCAGGGAAAGCCCCGCUUAUUGCUAAAAGUUCAAGCAACAAAUUAUGAGAGAAGAAAAAAUUGAAUUGAUUACAUACCUGCUGAAGUUUAGUAGCAAUUUUCUGAUACAUUUCACUUAGUUCGGGUAAGUACCUUUCCUUCAUGACUUUGAUCUGCAAAUGAAAGUUACAAUACAAAGAUGAUUAGAAAGAACUUUGCUGCAGCUACAUGCUUGCCGACACCAUCAUAACAUCAAUGCCAAUGGAAAAGAGCCCGUGCAUGCAACCAUGAAUUCAUGUAUGCUUGUAUCUAAUGAAGCAAGUUUUAAUUAACUCCCAACCGAUGGUAGCUUAACAAAGCUGUCCCACAGGGAAUCUUAACUAGCAUGUAAUUCUUCAAAAUCCCCAUUCAAGGCAAUUUUGGCAUUAGUAUAAUUCUUUUCCAGUAGCUCUAUUCCCACCCCCAAGCCAAAUAAUUUGUAUUUUUAUAUUUAGAUGUUGUAUGUGAAAGCCAUCAAAUGGACAAGAAGGCAGGACAUCUUACUUUUUGAUAGACCUCCUCUUGCCAAUCACCCCCAUUUGCAUGUCCAGCCUGAGCUGAGGAAUCCAGAGAAGCUGCAAAAUAUAGAGAGAUAUAUGUCAAUGUUUGCACAUAAAAUGAAAUUUGAACACGAGGGUUUAAAAUGAGAAAGAAAAAAAAAAAAAAAAGCAUUGCAAGCAGAACAUUACAACAACAACAACAACAAAGCCUUUUCCCACUAAGUGGGGUCGGCUAUAUGAAUCCUAGAACGGCAUUGCGCGCGGUUUUGUGUCAUAUCCUCCGUUAGAUCCAAGUACUCUAAGUCUUUUCUUAGGGUCUCUUCCAAAGUUUUCCUAGGUCUACCUCUACCCCUUCAGUCCUGAACCUCUAUCCCGUAGUCACAUCUUCGAACCGGAGCGUCAGUAGGCCUUCUUUGUACAUGUUCAAACCCAUUUUGUGUACGUGUUGAUGCUUCACCUCCCAACGUUUUGUGCCAUACAGCAUCGCCGGCCUUAUUGCCGUCCUAUAAAAUUUUCCCUUGAGCUUUAGUGGCCUACGACAGUCACACAACACGCCGGAAGCACUCUUCCACUUCAUCCAUCCAGCUUGUAUUCUAUGGUUGAGAUCUCCAUCUAAUUCUCCGUUCUUUUGCAAGAUAGAUCCUAGGUAGCGAAAACGGUCGCUCUUUGGUAUUUCCUGAUUUCCGAGCCUCACCCCUAACUCAUUUUGGCCUCCAUUUGCAAUGAACUUGAACUCCAUAUAUUCUGUCUUUGAUCGGCUUAGGCGAAGACCUUUAGAUUCCAACACUUCUCUCCAAAAGUUAAGCUUCGCAUUUACCCCUCCUGAGUUUCAUCUAUCAACACUAUAUCGUGUGCGAAAAGCAUACACCAAGGAAUAUCAUCUUGAAUAUGUCCUGUUAACUCAUCCAUUACCAACGCAAAAAGGUAAGGACUUAAGGAUUGUUGAUGCACAAAAUUAGUGAGGACUUUGGUACAACAGAAAGUAUUAAGUUUGUGAUCUUCGCUAGAUUGCUCUGGUCAUUAGUGUGGAUAAGUAUGUAAAUGGAUAGAGACAGGAAAGCAAACACAAGAUGUACGUGGUUCACCCAGAUUGGCUACGUCCACGGAGUAGAGGAGUUCUCAUUAAUUGUGAAAGGUUUACGUAAGUACAUAGGUUCAAGAUCUCCUUUAGUGAGUACAAGUGAAUGAUUUAGUACAAAUGACAUAGGUGCAAGCUCUCGUCUUCACUUGCCUUAACUGUCUCAUAGGUAGAUGUGGCAUCUUCUCUGUAAGUACGCUUCUUCCAUCCAGGGGUGGUAUCUUUAACUGGUGGAGAUACAUAAGGUAAUGUAUCAAUUUCACUUGAAGCUUAUUUGUAGUUUCAGGCUUGGUCAAGCGCGAUACAAACCAUGUAGUAGGAGUCCCCCAAGUCGUUGAGCUAGGGGAUCUGCUGAAAGAGGUGACAGACAAGGUAAGCAAUCAGAGCUCCAAGCAAUCAGUCCCAGAUCAGAAGUUUGAUUUCGAGUUCUGGCUGAUUGUUCUCAUUCUCCCUAUCUUGCAGGCAGCAUGAAGGAUAAAAAGAAGAAAAGGAGAAUAGACGAUAUGAGAUACUUUUGCUUUUGAAGAAGUAACUUUCCACAGACUUAUUCUUGAACUGGGCUGGAGGAUUUUCUAGUUUCCUCCAUAGUAUAAGGCCGACUGAAGAAUUUGAGGGUCAAAACACGUCCAUCAAAUCUAGAGUACAUUCGACCCUGCUGAUAUGGGAUACUUUUGUUGUUGACAAAGUAGUGGAUGUAUCGGCACGUGUUCUGUUACGCUUGUCUCCACAUGCUUCCUUGUAUCCUUCUCACUUUCCCUAUCUGUUCCUCAGGCAGAUGUGGUAUCUUCUCUGGAAGCAUAAGAUGUUGAAGAUGGGUACUCGAGAGCAAUGUCAGGUAAGUAAUCAGGUAAGGGGUUCCAGGCAGUCAGUUCCUGACUAGAAGCUUGAUUCCAAGUGCUGACUGAUUGCUCUCUCCUUGUCUUGCAGGUAAGAACAAGGCCAAAGGAAAAGACAGGGAAAAAGCAUGAUAUGGGAUACUCUUGCUUUUAACCCUGAUGAUAUGAGAUAUUCUUGCUCUGGUGUAGCUUGUUUGCAGAGGUAUUAUUGGGGGGAAAGAAAGCUGAGUAUUUCGAGAGGCUUCGUUGGGAGUGCCCUCUCAAAUAUGAAGAAGGGUUGAGCAUUUUUGCAGGUCUGCCUGUCCGUUGAGGAUGGAGGUCGACAUAUAUAGGAGUUCCCCUAACAAUAAGUAGUAAUGUUAUUCCUUUACCCUGCUUGGUCAUAGCACGGUAGUGGGAGCUGCCAGCUUCACGUGUGUCAGAGCACUUUGAAAAAAUGGUCUGUGGUAUCCGGAAAGCUAAUGUUGAGUGUGAAGAUUACAGACAAGCUUUAUCCAAGGAGAUCUGGCUCUCAAAGUUGAGAAAGCGGUGCCUCUUCGGUUUUCGUACAAGCAAUCCUGUCGAGGAUCUGGCUCUCGAGAUUCGAAAAACGGUGCCUCUUCGAUUUUUGAGAGAGCAAUCCUGCAGGGAGUCUAGCUCUCGAGAUUCGGAGAGCGGUGUCUCUUCGAUUUUUGAGAAAGUAAUCAUGUUGGGAGUCUGGCUCUCGAGAUUCAGAGGACGGUGCCUCUUCGAUUUUGGAGCAAGCAAUCUUGUUGGGAGUGUUUUCUCGAAUGUAAGUAAAGGUUGGGCAUGUUUGCUAGUCUACCUUGCCACAGAGCACAGAGGUUGACACACAAGGACUUUCCAAUUAUCCAGCAGCGGUGCUGUUCCUUUACCCUUGUAGGUAAUAAUAUGGUAACUAGACCUUCAAAAUUUAUGUGUCUAAACUUUGUUAGUGCUGUUUCUUUGCUAUUCUUUUACUCUUCUUGGUCAUAGCGAUGUAGUGGGAGCUGCAAGCUUCACGUGUCUAAACUUUGUCAGAGAUCUUUGGCAAAGUUAUCUGUGGUACCCAUGAGCUGAUGGUGCGUGUGGAAAGUGGAUAAUUGAACAGUAAGAUUCACGUGCUUUCUACUUCACCAGAAAUCUUCAACAGAAUGCCCGUAAUUUCAGCAAAGCUGAGUGUGCAUGUGACAGGUGCUGACAAGGCUGAAAAAAGCAGGUGCCUCUUCGAUUUCUGAGAUCGGCCCUCGUGGUCUCUGAGCAGCCCAGCUUUUGAGAAAGCAAACGCCUCUUCGAUUUCUGAGAUCGGCCCUCGUGGUCUUUGAGCAGCCCAGCUUUUGAGAAAGCAAACGCCUCUUCGAUUUCUGGGCAGGCGCCUCUUCGAUUUCUGAAGCUCCGUCGAGUGCAGAUUUUUAUAGAGGCUAGCAUUAAGUUCCAAAGCACACUUGAAUCUUUACCAGUAGAAGCUCCCUUCUUGCACUUAUAAGAUCUUGAUUUGUCCGACCUCUUCUCUCUUCAACACCUUUGAAAAUGUCUGGCCCCUCCGACCGUCGUUUUGACUUGAACCUCGUUGAAGAGGCAGCCACGCCUUCUUCAGACAACAUAUGGCGCCCAUCCUUCUUAUCCCCUACUGGUCCGCUUACCGUUGGGGAUUCCGUGAUGAAGAAUGAUAUGACUGCUGCGGUGGUGGCCAGGAACCUUCUCACUCCCAAAGAUAAUAGACUACUUUCCAAAUGGUCUGAUGAGUUGGCUGUUAAGGAUUCUCUGGUUCUAAGUGUUCAGUGUGCAUGUUCUGUGUCUAAUAUGGCCCAACGCCUAUUUGCUCGAACCCGCCAAGUUGAAUCAUUGGCAGCUGAAAUGAUGAGUCUCAAAUAGGAGAUUAGAGGGCUCAAGCAUAAGAAUAAACAGUUGCACCAGCUCGCACAUGACUAUGCUACAAACAUGAAGAGGAAGCUUGACCAGAUGAAGGAAUCUGAUGGUCAGGUUUUACUUGAUCAUCAGCGGUUUGUGGGUUUGUUCCAAAGGCAUUUAUUGCCUUCGUCUUCUGGGGCUGUACCGCGUAAUGAAGCUCCAAAUGAUCAACCUUCGAUGCCUCCUCCUUCUAGGGUUCUGUCCAGUACUGAGGCUCUGAGUGAUCCCCCUCCGGUGCCUUCUCUUUCUGGGGCUCGACCGACUGCUGAGACUUCUCCUAAGCAACCUUUGUGAAGGCUCCCUCUUGUUUGUUUAUUUUGACUCAUGUAUAUGUACAUAUUUGUAACUUAUCGGAGAUAUCAAUAAAUAAGCUUUGCUUCAUUUCAAUGUAUUGUGUUAAAUACACCAAAGGUAUGAAAGGCACUUCAGGUGCAAUUUUGCUCCUACUUUCAACUUAUGAGGGCAAUUACUUUUUUAUGGGAAGACUUCAAAGGUUUCUUUUUCUUUGUUUAAAAGUAAUUGUGGAGUUAUCAAGAGGAAAUGGGUUAACAUUAUGUCAGAAUAGCGUCUCUAUCACCAUAUCUCAUGGAAAGACAAGAUACAAAAACUAAAAUCAAAGGCAACAGAAGCUUCAGCUUUCACCAGAAAAUCACUCGUAAAGAACUCAGAUUGUAAACAUUAAGCAAGAGAGGUGAAAGGUAAACUUAUGGUAAUUAAGGUGGUCCGUAUACCAAAUUUGAGGUGUAGGCGCAAAACUCGUAACUAGGCUAUUUAUAUAUAUAUUCUAUUCUCUUAGUCGGGUUUAAUAACUAUUUUCUUAUCCUUGUGGAUUAUUAUUUGCUAUAAUUAAUUCAUUUCCUUUUGGGAUUUUACUUUUAGAUUAUAUAACCACAUCAAUCUCUAUUACUCAACCCUAGUUCAGCCUAUAUGGAUAUUCAGAAUGCAAGACUAACUUUGAAUUUAUUUUUUCUUUCAGUUUGGGAUUUAGCUUUUUAUCUUCCCUCCCCUGUGCUGCAACAUACAAGACUAACUCUGUUCCUUUUAUAUAAAUCCAAUUACCAAAUAUAAAUCACAAAAUUUUAUGUACACUACCACUACACAUAUCAACCUCUAAAAAGAAAAGCAAGAAAUCAAGAAAGACCAAGGCUUGCUUUAGCCCUAUAGUUUAAUGUGACCAGAUAUUUGCAUAGGACUCUGGUUCUCCAUUCCAUGAUGGUUAGAUGCUGAAGUACUGGAAAGAACAGAAGUCGUCAUGUUUGAAAGAGAGGCAUGAUGCAUCUAUUUAAAAGUGUUGGUGACAACGAACAUGUGGUGGGAAGAUGGGACACACCUACUUGGCAAGAUAGCCAGGCAUAAAAAUUUCUAUUGACUAAGUCCAAUGCACAUCCAUGUUACAUUUUAAUACAAGAAGUCAUAUAUGGCAAAGAUAAAAUUCCAAAAUUAGACUACUUCCAUAGAGAGUCUAGACACCUACAUCUGGCAACCACAACAAAAUAAUAUAUUUACCAAGGUCAUCCAAAAAAAAAGUGUGCCCCAUAAAAACAUAUAAUAAAGACCAUUUUCAUAACAAAAUCAAAUUAAUGACAUAAAAAUGACAGUAUUACCUAUAAUACAAUAUGAUAAACAGACCGAAAUCACAUAAUACAAAAGUAAAAUAAGAAUAAAAUAAGAUUCCGUCCAAAAUGUGCACCUAUGAUAAUCUAGAUAUCAUGAAAGCACAUGCAUAAAAUCAGGAAAGUGCAUAAGUGCAAAAAUCGUACUCGAUGAUGUCUCAGCAAGGGGUCUCUGAGAUUGAUAUAACUGCUUUUGCUGAUCCAUUACAUUUUGAGCUUGAAGCAUGGUUCCUGAUAUCUGACCUGAUGCUUGAAGCCUUUGCUGCAUAUCUCGUUGCAGUGGAUUUGACUGCUGUUGCAAACCCAUUUGUUGCAUCUGUGGCUGUGAUUGAAUCUGUGACAUCAUUUGUUGCUGUGAUGCUUGCGGUUGUGACUGCUGUCCUUGAGUCGGUAACAUGUUAGAUGCAUUCGGAUGUUGUUGCUGCUGCACCUGAACCUUGGAUUGUUGCAACAAGUGUACAGAGUGCUGAUUUGGUUGCAUACUAGAAUUACCACUUUGAGUUCCAAGGUGCUGCUGUUGCUGUAAUCCGGUAACAUUACUCUGAGAGCCCAACUGUUGCUGAUGCAUAUUUGAAAGGUUGCUUUGCUGCUGUUGCUGUAACCCAGUAACAUUACUCUGCGGGCCCAAUUGUUGCUGAUGGAUAUUAGAAAGGUUGCUUUGCUGAGCCAUUAACUGCUGCUGCUGCUGCUGUUGUUGCUGUUGCUGCUGCUGCUGCUGCUGCUGUUGCUGUUGCUGUUGUUGCAGGUUUAAAAGAUUAUUCUGCUGGUUUAGUAACCUCUGUUGUUGCUGCUGCUGCAUAUCCCCGACAUUAGUUUGUUGUCCAAUCAUCUGAUUCUGGGACAAGUUUGAAGCAGUUGGCUGCUGCUGCUGCGGGGUUAAUAUUGGCUGUUGUGCCAUUGGUGUUUGCUGUUGAUGAACAGCUACCUGUUGAGGCUGCUGUUGCUGCCUGAGAACUGGCUGUGAAUGCUGCGGAAGCAUGGGUUGUGAUGACUGUUGCAUAGCAGAUUGUUGAUUCUGCUGGACAGAUGAUUGCACUGAAGGCUGCAUAACAGACGAUGUUGGCAUAACAGAUUGCUGGGAAGAUUGCAACUGAGUCGGUUGUAAAAGGUUCUGCUGCUGUUGCUGUUGCUGUUGCACAAGUUGUGGCAUAUUUCCCUGCUCAUAUUUUGGCUUCAAAAGCGAAUGUUGCAUCUGUUGAUGGUACAUAUACUGCUGGGAAUUCUGGGAAUUCUGGGAUUGCUGCGGCUGCUGCUGUUGGGGAGCUACCUGUUGCCUUCCUGGCAUUUGCCUUUGAGAAUUAGCAAAGACAUUGGAGGGUACCCCCUGGCCCAUGGAAUUCCCUAAUGAAUUCUGUGAACUUCCAGACAUAUUUUGCAUGUUUGGGUUUUGUCCACCUAUACUUGGGAUAGGAGUCUGGGUUAAACCGGAAGAAGGAGGUAGUGCAGAUGAUAAGCCAGACGAACUUUGAACUCCAGCAGGUGGAAUGUUAUUCUGAAUGCUCUGUGAUAAAAGUGGUUGGCGUCCUUGAGAUUGAUUAGCUGGUAACGGCAUAGAGAGUGAUUGCCCAUGAUUGGGGACUUGGGGUUGCAUACCUUGAUUGGGAACUUGGGGUUGCAUACCAAAAGACCCUAUUCAAGUAAAAUAGCAAGAAUAAACACCACAUAGCAAGCGUCAAAACAAGAAUACAAUAAAUGUCAUCCGGCGUGUUGUGUGACCGUCGUAGGCCACUGAAGCUCAAGGGAAAAUUUUAUAGGACGACAAUAAGGCCAGCGAUGUUGUAUGGCACAGAAUGUUUGGUGGUGAAGCAUCAACCCGUACACAAAAUGGGUGUAGCGGAGAUGAGGAUGCUUCGUGGGAUGUAUGGGCACACGAGAAAUGAUAAGAUUGGGAAUGAGGAUAUCCGAGGUAAAGUAGGAGUAGCCAAAAUUGAAGGAAAUAUGAGAGAAAAUCGGUUCCGGUGGUUUGGACAUGUGCAAAGAAGGCCUACUGACGCUCCGGUUCGAAAAUGUGACUACGGGACAGAGGUUCAGGACCGAAGGGGUAGAGGAAGACCUAGGAAAACUUUGAAAGAGACCCUAAGAAAAGACUUGAGUACUUGGAUCUAACGGAGGACAUGACACAAAACCGAGCGCAAUGGCGUUCUAGGAUUCAUAUAGCCGACCCCACUUAGUGGGAAAAGGCUUUGUUGUUGUUGUUGUUGUUGUAUUUGACCCAUUAAAUACAAGUGAAUAAAGAUAUCAAGAACGAAUCAUCUCAGUUAAGAAAUGCAGGAAUAAUUAAGAAAAAGAAAGUACGUUUCAUUAGUUGUUUUUACCCGGAUCAGGGGGCCUGUUGCUGUUACCCGCAGAGUUAGAUUGUAAAGGAUUGCCCAUUGAAUUCUGAGACUUGGUCUCCAUUGUGAGCAUCUUCAGAGAAAUUUUCCGUAGAUAAUCCGACUACAAAAUUAAAAAAUCCAUGCUAAAUUUAGAAUACAGUUCUAUCCAAAAUAUGAAGAAAGUUCAAGCAUAGACAACAUAUUUUUAAGAAGUCAUAUAUGUAAUAGAUAGGUAAGUAUUUAAGUACGCAAACAUUACAUGCACCAUAAGAAAUAAGAACUCUGGUAUUAUGGAAGCACCUGGCUUGUGGCUGCAGUAUAAAUCUUUUCCUCAAACCUUACAGCAAUUUUACUGAGUUCCUGUAAUCCAUCUUGUCCGGAGAAGGGAAGAUGCCUCUUCAACGUAUCCAUUCUAUACAUGCAAUAAAACCAACAUCAGUUACAGACUACCAAAAUGGGGGUAGCGUUCAUAAUAGCAAAGCUGGAUUAGACUACCGCUUGAAACAAAAAAAGUUCAACAAAGAAAAACACUUACAUCUUGUUGACAAUUCUUUGCCUCGAAUCAGCCUGCAGCUGACUCCUCCAAUCGCCGGCAUCCAUGGCAGCCUCUCCAACUUGAGAAGGCCUCCACUUAUUGGUAUCCAUCAAAUCCAAUCAACCCAACAAAACUGCCAAAAACAAAAGUACAGGACUGAGCAACUUCAACGAAAACCUACGAAAAGGGCACAAAAAAUUCGUACAAGAGCUAGCUAUUCGGACGACGAUACAGUUUAUAAUUACGCAGGCAUUUUUUUUGCAUCAGAAAUUGCAUUCAUUCAAGCUGAUUCUAAACACGAUUUAGGCGCCAUGAAAAAUCAAAACUUGCAAUUCAAUUCACAUACAACCGAAAACCAGAUACAAUUUACACAAUCAGAUCACAAAAACACCAACAAUAACGAAUUUUCCACAAAACCCACGAUCGAUCAACAUCUAAAACAAAAAACCCAACAAAAAUUGACCAAAAAGUUACCUCUUUUCUUUCAGAACAGGAGAGUUGAAGAUUGAAAGGUUCAGGUUGCCUGGAGUCAAACAAUGGAGAAAUUGCAGAACAGGGAAAUCGGGGGAUUGGGAAAGGAAGGAGGGUUCUUGCUCAAAAGCUUCAAACUUUGACAAGAUUUAAUGGAUUGAUGUGUUAGUAGGAAGGGAGAGCAACGAAAUAUCCUGUUUUAACCAAUGUCUGAUUUUUUUUUAGGUUUUUUUUUUAAAUUUGAAUUUUUCAGGGACAAAAAGACAAUAAAACCAUUGGCCUUAGGAAUUUAUAAGUUGCCACUUACCACUUUAUCCUAAUCCUAGGCUUUCUUGUCAAAUACCAAUUGGAUAGGAAUAUUUCCAACUGAGUCAAAAGAACAAAGUAGUCUUAUUUAUAACUAGCUUCUUGGUACGCGCUCAAAUGCGCGAAUUAACUUUUAAACGUCAAUUAAUGUAUUAGCAUUUCAUUAGUUUUACGUCUUAUAUCAUCACUUUGAAACUUAUUUAUUUGUACUAAAUAAGAAACUACUAUAUAUAGUUGGUGUAAUAAGUUUGUGUCUUUAGCAUUAUUGAUGUAAAUAGACUGAUUUUCUUAUAUUCUUUUAUUUUAAAUUUAUUAGUUAUAUAACUUUACACUUUAUUGCUUUUCAAUGAAGACAGAACAAGGAGGAGAUCAAUUAUUCCUCAAUUAAUCUACUUCAUUAUUCCUCAAUCUGCUUCUUGACCAUUUUGGUAUUAGAUUCCAUAUAGUAAAGCGUCAUGUAACUUUCAUUUUCAUGUGUUAAUAAAUGUAAGAAUCUAAAUGAUUUUGCAUGUGAUUGGCAUGAAAUCCAAAUGUCCUCUUUAGUUCAAUAUAACAACCUCUUGUCCCGCGAGAUUUUGAAACCAUUACCUCCUCUGACGACAGGGCCGGUCUAGAGAUUUUUGAGGCCCGGGACGACGUAAAAAAAAGUGCCCUAACUUCAUGUAAGAAAAUUAUUUAUCUUCACACAUAAGACAUCGAAAAAAUUAUACUUAGAAAAACACUUCAAACUUAAUAAUUUAGAAACACAUAAAAACUAAUUUAUUUUGUAUUGAGAGAGGGAAACAAAAAAACUUCGGGCUUACAAGAAGAUAGAUGAUGAGUUUUGUUUUCCAUUUGAACUUUGAAUGUGUUUUUGAAUAAAUCGUGAUGUGUUUUUUUUCUUAUUUACUAACCUUGUCAAUAUGGGACUAAAAAAUAAUGAUGUUUUCGAGUUUUACUAAAUUAAACAUUUUGAUGACACGUCAUAUAAUUUGCAAAUUUGGUAUACGUAAUAUUCUUUGUUGAAGAUUAGACUUGAAUUAAAACGAAUAUUUAAAAAUAACAACCCACAUAGCUACUAGAUAGUAACUAAAUAUAAAUUACCAACCAAACAAAAAUUUGUAAAAAUUGAAAAGAAUAAACAUGCACAUAGCAUUUCGAACUUAGGACCUCUUGUUAAUUUUAACAACAAAAAUCAUUGUUUCUAAUUAAACUUCUUUAUCCUUUAACCAAAUUUUCUAAAUUUAUACUCUUAUAAAACGAAAUUUGUAAAAAAAAGGAAAGUAAAUAAGCACACAUGAUGUUUUGAACACAAGACCUCCUUAUUAUUUUUAAAUGACAAACCACCACUUCUAGUUAAAUUUCUGUGUCUUUGAAUCAAAUUUUAUAAAUUUAUACUCUUAUAAAAACAUAUAUAAAUAUAUCGCCCUAAUAAUUUUGGUGCCCCUAAUUUUUUUGGGCCCUGGACGGUCGCCCCUUCUGCACUGGGCCUGGGCCGGCCCUGUCUGACGAAAUGGAGAUCAAAAACCCAUUAGUACAAAGGUAGAAUACAACCAAACUCUAGGUAUAGCAAUUUUUGUUCUCUCUAACAAAAGCCAACAAAUGCAGAUGACGCUUUACCAUAGUGACGAAAAACAAUUAUGUCUACGCACCCCAACCAACCUCCUCACCCCUAACAAAGGCCAAUACAUUGAUAUCGUCUACCCUUCUAAAGUCAUCACAUUUUUAUUCAGAGAAUGGAGGAGAGAAGCUGAAGUAGCGUAUGAGGCCACGAGAACAUGGAAAUUCAGACCAAAGGAGCAUAAAAACCAUAUGGAAAAGAUGAUGAUGCAUGUGGAACAAUUGACAAACUUGAUAGAAAAGAUGUGAUGGGCAAACACGACGCCUUUUCAGGUUGGAGGGGGCCUUUGUGGUCUGAGAGAGAGAGAGGGAGAGAGAGAGAGAGAGAGCUCCUCUAAUUCAAUCAUAUAAAAGUAAAACUGAUGAUAAAUCAUUCCAAACACACAAAUAACGUUAUAAAAAUGCAGUCUCUUUAAUUAAUUAUUGACAAAUAGCUUGAAAUCUUUCAAAAUGCGGUCCAUUCAUUUUGCGGUUGCGGUUGUGAUUUCUUCGUUUUGUUGAAGCUCGCCCAGCCUCUCAACAACGGUGCAAUCCACUUUACAUAUGAGGAGGUGGGGGGAGCUGCCCUUGUUGCAGAGGAGGACCUUGCUUCCUCGGUCUAUUUGUAUUAAUAAAAUUUACUAUCUGCUUCUCAUACAUACCCAACUUCUCUUUCAAACCAGAUGUAAUGCUACUCUUGGGAAUCUGUAAGACUGAUAUGAGGCGCUCCAACAUGGUUUUGAACAUUUUUAGCUUCUCAAGCUGCUCUGACUUUGGUUGUUGUGGAAGAGAAUCGUGCUGGCAAACAGAAAGAACAGACGUCAGUAAGCAAAAGAAUGGCAAUAUAAGGAGUAACAACUUUGUCGCGAAAUCUUAUUAGCAUUAUUGGUGAGGUAACAAUCCCAAUUAGACAGUCUACAUGGGUACAAUAAUUAAAAGGGAGAUCAAGGUAGAAUCCAUCAAAGAGCAGCACCACAAUAACCUAGCAGGGAAAGCCCCGCUUAUUGCUAAAAGUUCAAGCAACAAAUUAUGAGAGAAGAAAAAAUUGAAUUGAUUACAUACCUGCUGAAGUUUAGUAGCAAUUUUCUGAUACAUUUCACUUAGUUCGGGUACGUACCUUUCCUUCAUGACUUUGAUCUGCAAAUGAAAGUUAUAAAUACAAAGAUGAUUAGAAAGAACUUUGCUGCAGCUACAUGCUUGCCGAUACUCAUGAAUUCAGACAGCAUGAAUUCAUGUAUGCUUGUAUCUAAUGAAGCAAGUUUUAAUUAACUCCCAACCGAUGGUAGCUUAACAAAGCUGCCCCACAAGGAAUCUUAACUAGCAUGUAAUUUCUUCAAAAUCCCCAUUCAAGGCAAUUUUGGCAUUAGUAUAAUUAUUUUCCAGUAGCUCUAUUCCCACCCCCACGCCAAAUAAUUUGUGUUUUUAUAUUUAGAUGUUGUAUGUGAAAGCCAUCAAAUGGACAAGAAGUCAGGACAUCUUACUUUUUGAUAGACCUCCUCUUGCCAAUCACCCCCAUUUGCAUAUCCAGUCUGAGCUGAGGAAUCUAGAGAAGCUACAAAAUAUAGAGAGAUAUAUAUGUCAAUGUUUGCACAUAAAAUGAAAUUUGAACACGAGGGUUAAAAAUGAGAAAGAAAAAAAAAAGCAUUGCAUGGAAAACAUUGAUAUGGAAAAUUAUCCUUCCCAAACAGUUGAGGUGCAAUUUUGCUCCUACUUUCUGCUUAUGACAGCAAUUACAUUUUUAUGGGAAGACUUCAGGUGCAAUUUUGCCCUUGAUUGGGGACUUGGGGUUGCAUACCGAAAGACCCUACUCAAGUAAAUAGCGAGAAUAAACACCAUAUCAAGAAUAAACACCAUAUAAACAAGCAUCAAAACAAGAAAACAAUAAAUGUCAUUUGUACUCAUCAUUUGAUCCAUUAAAUACAAGCGAAUAAAGAUAUCAAGAACGAAUCAUCUCAGUUAAGAAAUGCGGGAGUAAUUAAGAAAAAGAACGAACAUUUCUCGCAACAGAUCAACCAUCAAGAAGAAAGGUAGCCAAGAGAGAAAAGGGCAGUUUUCAAUAGUUGUUUUUACUGUUACCAGCAGAGUUAGAUUGUAAAGGAUUGCCCAUUGAAUUCUGAGACUUGGUCUCCAGUGUGAGCAUCUUCAGAGAAAUUUUCCGUAGAUAAUCCGACUACAAAAUAAAAAAAUCCAUGCUAAAUUUAGAAUACAGUUCUAUCCAAAAUAUGAAGAAAGUUCAAACAUAUACAACAUUUUUUUAAGAAGUCAUAUAUGUAAUAGAUAGGUAAGUAUUUAAGUACACAAACAUUUCAUGCACCAUAAGAAAUAAGAACUCUGGUAUUAUGGAAGCACCUGGCUUGUGGCUGCAGUAUAAAUCUUUUCCUCAAACCUUACAGCAAUUUUACUGAGUUCCUGCAAUCCAUCUUGUCCGGAGAAGGGAAAAUGCCUCUUCAACGUAUCCAUUCUAUACAUGCAAUAAAAUCAACACCAGUUACUGACUACCAAUAUGUUUUAAGUUUGAAGUCCUCCCGCCAUAGUUUAGAUUAGAUUACGCUAAAUUAGACUACCGCUUGAAACAAAAAAAAGAAUCGACAAAGAAAAACACUUACAGAUUGUUGACAAUUCUUUGCCUUGAAUCAGCCUGCAGCUGACUCCUCCAAUCGCCGGCAUCCAUGGCGGCCUCUCCAACUUGAGAAGGCCUCCACUUAUUGGUAUCCAUCAAAUCCAAUCAACCCAACAAAACUGCCAAAAACAAAAGCACAGGACUGAGCAACUUCAACGAAAACCUACGAAAACGGCACAAAAAUUCGUACAAGAGCUAUUCGAACGACGAUACAGUUUAUAAUUACGCAGGCAGUUUUUUUGCUUCAGAAAUUGCAUUCAUUCAAGCUGAUUCUAAACACGGUUUAGGCGCCAUGAAAAAUCAAAACUUGCAAUUCACAUACAAUCGAAAACCAGAUACGAUUUACACAAUCAAAUCAAAAAAAAAAAAAACAAUAACGAAUUUCCCACAAAACCCACGAUCGAUCAACAUCUAAAACAAAAAACCCAACAAAAUUUGACCAAAAAGUUACCUCUUUUGUUUCAGAACAGGAGAAUUGAAGAUUGAAAGGUUCAGGUUGCCUGGAGUGAAACAACGGAGAAAUUGCAGAACUGGGAAAUCGGGGGAUUGGGAAAGGAAGGAGGGUUCUUGCUCAAAAGCUUCAAACUUUGACAAGAUUGAAUGGAUUGAGGGGAUGGUUUGGGAGUGACAUAAAAAAAAAAAGCACCAUGAAAAAAAGUGCGAGAGUUUUAGGUGUUUGGUAAACUGAAGAAAAAAAAGCUUAUUUUGGAAGCUGAUGUGAGAAUAAGCUGAAAUUAAAAGAAAAAGCUGAAGCUGCUAUUUGCAGCUUUGGAAAACUGGCAUUUUUUCAAAACACACAGAGCUAGAGUGCUCUUUUAAUGAAAAGACCCACUAUCAGAUUGUUUUUUUUUUUUUUCAAAAGCACUUUUACAAAAAAGUUUACCAAACACUCUACUGAUUUAUUUCACAGCUGCUUAUUCUCACAACAACUUUUUUUUCAAAGCACAGCAAUAUCAGACCAGCCCUGAUGCGUCUGAUGUGGUCUUUUUAGUUAAGUAGGAAGGGAGAGACAACAAAUAUCCCGUUUUAACCAAUGUCUGAUUUUUUAGGUUUUUUUUUAUAGAAAAACUAAUGAAAAGCGUCUGAAAUGUUUUAGUUUUAAUAAAAAAUCAUGUUAUAAGUUUUGUUUAAUGAUUAGUAUAAAACUCAUAUUAAAGUAGUCCAACUAAAAAUGGUCUAACUAUAAUAACUUAUUAUUUGUUGAUUUUACCUUUAACUUUUUUAGGUUGACUUUCAGAUUUUCGUCGUUAAUGAAGUUCAUCGUUGUUUUGCAGACUUUCUUCUUUUUCUUUGAAACAAAAAUAUAGAUCCUCAUGCAAGUUAAUUUAUAUUUUGUAUUAUUUUGUUGAAACGUGAUUGUUGUUAUUAUUCAUAAAGUAUUCGAAAUAUUGUUUUUCAAUUUUUCUUUGUUAGUGGAGUUCAUCGUUUGUUUUUACAAAAAAAAAUUUGAGAUCUGCAUGUUAUUCAAUAAUAACGAUGGUCAGUGUUUCUGGACUGUAAAAAUAAACUGUUUCUGGAUUUUAAGUAACACUGUUUCUGGAUCUAAAUGAAAUAGACACACUGUUUCUUAAAUGAAAGCUAGAAAAGAAAUAGUGAAAUUCAUUGUAUUUGAAUUCAAAGAAAAAUAAGCAUCAUGUUUUUUAAAUAUAAUCAACUGAUGCAUGCAAGAAAAGAAACAAUCAAAGGUUAAAACAUAGACUGUUUCUGGAAUUUAAAGCACUGUUUUUUGAAUUUAAGUCAUUGUUUAUGGAUUUUGGUUCUUUUAUUUUCAGAUAGAGUGUUUGUUUGUGCACAGAAAAAACAAAAAAUGUAUCUGAUUUUUUUUUUCCAAAAAUAGUGUUAUGUUUUGGGUUCUCCAGAAACAGUUUUAUGUUUUGGUUUUUUUUUUCCUAUUUACAAACGCCUGACAUGUAUGUACAUCACCGGGACCGUAGGUCCUUAUUGGAUCUGAUUGGAAUAAAAUACUAACACUAUAAAUUGUUCGUGGUGCAGAUAAGAGGAUGAGGAUGAGGACGAUGACGAGGACAAGGAGGAUAAGGGCACGAAAAAGGUAGACAAUAGUUUUGGAUGAUUUUUUAUUAAACUUUGAGCCCUUUUGGUUAAAUAAUAUUUUAGGAUGAUUUUUGGUUAAAUAUUUGUUGGCCCAAAUCAUUUUCAUUAAAGCUCCAUUUUUUUAUUUAUGUUUGAAAUUUGAAUUUUUUAGGGACAAAAUGACGAUAAAACCAUUGUCCUUAGGACUUUAUAAGUUGCCACUUACCACUUUAUCCUAAUCCUUCUAGGCUUUCUAGUCAAAUCCCAAUAGGAUAGGAAUAUUUCCGACUGUGUCAAAAGAACAAAGUAAUCUUCUUUAUAACUAGCAUCUCGGUAUGCGCUUAAAUGCGCGAAUUGACUUUUAAACACCAAUUAAUGUGUUGGCAUUUCAUUAGUUUUAUGUUUUAUAUCAUCACUUUGAAACUUAUUUAUUUGUACUAAAUAAGAAAUUGCUAUAUAUAGUUGGUGUAAUAAGUUUGUGUCUCUAACAUUAUUGAUGUAAAUAGACUGAUUUUCUUAUAUUUUUUUAAUUUUUUAUUUAUUAAUUAUAUAACUUUACACUUUAUUGCUAUUCAAAGAAGACAGAACAAGGAGGAGAUCAAUUAUUCCUCAAUUAAUCUACUUCUUGACCUUUUUGGUAUUAAGUUACAUAUAGUAAGCAUCACGUAACUUUUAUUUUCAUGUGUUAAUAAAUGUAAGAAUCCAAAUGAUUUCGUGGUUGGCAUGAAAUCUUCAAUAUAACCUCUUGUCCCAUGAGAUUUGAAACCAUUACAUCAUCCGACAAAAUGGAGAUCCAAAAACCAUUAGUACAAAGGUAGAAUACAACCAAACUCUAGGUAUAGCAAUAUUUUUUUCUCUCUAACAAAAGCCAAUACAUGCAGAUGACGCUUUAUCAUAGUGACGAAAAACAAUUAUAUCCAUGCACCCCAACCAACCUCCUCACCCCUAACAAAAGCCAAUACAUUGAUAUCCUCUACCCUUAUAAAGUCAUCACAUUUUUAUUCAGAGAAUGGAGGAGAGAAGCUGAAGUAGCAUAUGAGGCCAUGAGAACAUGUUCAACAUGGAAAUUCAGACCAACGAAGCAUAAAAACCAUAUGGCAAAGAUGAUGAUGCAUCUGGAACAAUUGACAAACUCGAUAAAAAAGAUGUGAUGUGCAAACACGACGCCCUUUCAGGUUGGAGGGGGCCUUUGUGGUCUGAGACUCGGUCUCCAUUGUGAAGUCACGGCCCAGGAUCAUGGAAGUACCUGGACUGUGGCUGCAGUAUACUAAUAAGAGAGAGAGAGAGAGAGAGAGAGAGAGCUCCUCUAAUUCAACCAUAUAAAAGUAAAACUGAUGAUAAAUCAUUCCCAUAGUCAUACAAUAAAAGUAAAUAACAUUUCUACUGUUCCAAACACACAUACAACGUCAAAAAAAUGCAGUCUCUUUAAUUAAUUAUUGGCAAAUAGCUAGAAAUCUUUCAAAAUGCGGUCCAUUCAUUUCGCGAUUGCGGUUGCGGUUUCUUCGUUUUGUUGAAGCUCGCCAGCAUCUCUACAAUGGUGCAAUCCACUUUACAAUGCACUGUGCAGUGCCCAUUGCACUUCCUUUUCCACUGCCCUGGCAUUAUCAGCAGAAUCCGCAUAUGUUUGACAAUAUUUUUCCGCGUAUGUUGCAAAUGAUAUAAAUUCUUCAGGCGUCACAUCCUUCUUGCCCUUGUUUCUUCUUCUGGCAGCAGCAGUGGCGGGAGUAGCAGCACCACACCGAUGACAACGCCCAGCCUUCCACCUCACAGCAGCAAACAGAUGCACUCAAUGCAUCUGAGCCAAUGUCACUGACAGAUGCACUCAAUGCAUUAGGUGACAUCGAUUUCACCUGCAAGUUCAAAAUCCAGAAAUUUAAUUUAAGCACAAGUGAGGGAAGGAAAAGACCAACUUAGAUGCUAAGUACUGAAACAUCAUUACAGCACUCAAAAAGAGAAAUAUGUAAUAAGAACCACUUUACUAACCGCGUUCAAGAGGCUGCUCGGUAACACUCGAUUUGCUAGAAAUAGUUGACAAAGCAUUAAAAUGACUAGCAUCUGGUACAAUAAAUUCAGCAAGCAAAGGAGAUGCCAACAUCCCACUAGUGCCAAUUGCAAGGGACUGGACUGGUGCUCCCACCCCAGCUGCUUGUUGAUGUCCGAUAUUCCCAGCAUUUGGUAGUGAGGAAGGUUUCUCAGAAUCCCCUGGCAUGGGGGAUGGAACCAUGGGAGUUGAAGGAGAUGGGAUGACAACAGGUGAACCGGCAGUUUGCAAUGGUGUUCCAGCUUUCAGGUGAGUCAGUAGAUUCUUGUGGUCAACUUGGGGAGAAGAAUGUUGCGAAAUUUGACAAGAUGCAGCCUGAAUGAGUUGGUUUGAUGAUGGAAUAGGAAAUGGAGAUCCUAAUUUCAACUGCUGAUGCGGAUAAGCAUGCUGGCCUGCGGAUAUAUGUUGCUGAAAAACCCCUGGCUUAACACCCAUCCCCUGUCUCAUCUUCAAGUCAUUUGCAUCAUUCAUUUGAUGAAGCAGUGGCAUUUGGUGUUGGUUCGCCUCCACCUGCGCCGGAAGCUGCUGGUUUGCUUGCAGCAACUGUUGAUGCUGCUGUUGCUGUUGCAGUAUCUGCUGCUUCUGUAUCAAUUGCCGCUGCAUUCGCUGUUGAUACUGUUGCUUCAGUUGAUUCUGAAACAUUUGCUGUUCCUGCUGUUUUAAUUGCUGGUGUUGAAGCAUACCAGAAUUUGACUGAAGGGAGAUAAUAUGGCUGAAGCAUACUAACCCCACUCUGCGAUGACAAACCAUUCAUGUUAGCUUGCUGGGGAGCACUGACAGGAGUUUGUUGGAUAGAUCCCACCGGAACUUGCUGCAAAGAGUUCAGUGCAUUUCCCUGUCCUGAAUCCAAAUUUGUACUCAGCUGCAAUGAAUUCAUCAUGUUCUGUUGUGCUGUUGAAACCCCAGAUAUCGAAGACAUUGAAUUUUGCUCCAAGCUUGUCAUAUAGUUCUGCUGCAUUGUUGGCACAGAACCUUGUAAAUUCAUUGUUUGCAACUGAGGGUUCAUUUGAUUUUCAUGAGACUGCACUUGAGGAGUUUGAGGCUGCGGCUGCUGCAUGGAGUGCAUAUGAGGUGGGGGGAGCUGCCCUUGUUGCAGAGGAUCUUGCUUCCGUGGUCCAUUUGUAUUAAUAAAAUUUACUAUCUGCUUCUCAUAUAAACCCAACUUGUCUUUCAAACCAGGUGAAAUGCUACUCUUGGAAAUCUGUAAGACUGAUAUGAGGCGCUCUAACAUGGUUUUGAACAUUUUAAGCUUCUCAAGCUGCUCUGACUUUGGUUGUUGUGGAAGAGAAUCGUGCUGGCAAACAGAAAGAACAGACGUCAGUAAGCAAAUGAAUGGCAAUAUAAGGAGUAACAACUUUGUUGCGAAAUCUUAUUAGCAUUAUUGGUGAGGUAACAAUCUCAUGUAGACGGUCUACAUGGGUACAAUAAUUAAAAGGGAGAUCAAGGUAGAAUCUAUCAAAGAGCAGCACCACAAUAACCUCGCAGGGAAAGCCCCGCUUAUUGCUAAAAGUUCAAGCAACAAAUUAUGAGAGAAGAAAAAAUUGAAUUGAUUACAUACCUGCUGAAGUUUAGUAGCAAUUUUCUGAUACAUUUCACUUAGUUCGGGUAAGUACCUUUCCUUCAUGACUUUGAUCUGCAAAUGAAAGUUACAAUACAAAGAUGAUUAGAAAGAACUUUGCUGCAGCUACAUGCUUGCCGACACCAUCAUAACAUCAAUGCCAAUGGAAAAGAGCCCGUGCAUGCAACCAUGAAUUCAUGUAUGCUUGUAUCUAAUGAAGCAAGUUUUAAUUAACUCCCAACCGAUGGUAGCUUAACAAAGCUGUCCCACAGGGAAUCUUAACUAGCAUGUAAUUCUUCAAAAUCCCCAUUCAAGGCAAUUUUGGCAUUAGUAUAAUUCUUUUCCAGUAGCUCUAUUCCCACCCCCAAGCCAAAUAAUUUGUAUUUUUAUAUUUAGAUGUUGUAUGUGAAAGCCAUCAAAUGGACAAGAAGGCAGGACAUCUUACUUUUUGAUAGACCUCCUCUUGCCAAUCACCCCCAUUAGCAUGUCCAGCCUGAGCUGAGGAAUCCAGAGAAGCUGCAAAAUAUAGAGAGAUAUAUGUCAAUGUUUGCACAUAAAAUGAAAUUUGAACACGAGGGUUAAAAAUGAGAAAGAAAAAAAAAAAAAAAAAGCAUUGCAAGCAGAACAUUGAUAUGGAAAAUUAUCCUUCCCAAACAGUUGAAAUGUAUUUUUUGUAAAACAAAAUAUAAAUAUCAUUCCAUACAUCAUAAGCAAAAUCUAAGAACAGACAAGAAGCUUCAUGAGCCAGUGGAAAAGGACCAUGCAUGCUCUAGAUUGAGGAAAAUAUAUCCAUGGGCAGCAACAUUUAGUAAACACAGUAGUCCACCGAAAGCUCUUUAUCUAUAAACCAAUAGAAGCAAAACUGAAGAAUAAAAAGUAAAAACCCAUGUUUUCAAUACCCAAAGGUAUGAAAGGCACUUCAGGUGCAAUUUUGCUCCUACUUUCAGCUUAUGAGGGCAAUUACUUUUUUAUGGGAAGACUUCAAAGGUUUCUUUUUCUUUGUUUAAAAGUAAUUGUGGAGUUAUCAAGAGGAAAUGGGUUAACAUUAUGUCAGAAUAGCGUCUCUAUCACCAUAUCUCAUGGAAAGACAAAGAUACAAAAACUAAAAUCAAAGGCAACAGAAGCUUCAGCUUUCACCAGCAAAUCACUCGUAAAGAACUCUGAUUGUAAACAUUAAGCAAGAGAGGUGAAAGGUAAACUUAUGGUAAUUAAGGUGGUCCGUAUACCAAAUUUGAGGUGUAGGCGCAAAACUCGUAACUAGGCUAUUUAUAUAUAUAUUCUAUUCUCUUAGUCGGGUUUAAUAACUAUUUUCUUAUCCUUGUGGAUUAUUAUUUGCUAUAAUUAAUUCAUUUCCUUGUGGGAUUUUACUUUUAGAUUAUAUAACCACAUCAAUCUCUAUUACUCAACCCUAGUUCAGCCUAUAUGGAUAUUCAGAAUGCAAGACUAACUUUGAAUUUAUUUUUUCUUUCAGUUUGGGAUUUAGCUUUUUAUCUUCCCUCCCCUGUGCUGCAACAUACAAGACUAACUCUGUUCCUUUUAUAUAAAUCCAAUUACCAAAUAUAAAUCACAAAAUUUUAUGUCCACUACCACUACACAUAUCAACCUCUAAAAAGAAAAGCAAGAAAUCAAGAAAGACCAAGGCUUGCUUUAGCCCUAUAGUUUAAUGUGACCAGAUAUUUGCAUAGGACUCUGGUUCUCCAUUCCAUGAUGGUUAGAUGCUGAAGUACUGGAAAAGAACAGAAGUCGUCAUGUUUGAAAGAGAGGCAUGAUGCAUCUAUUUAAAAGUGUUGGUGACAACGAACAUGUGGUGGGAAGAUGGGACACACCUACUAGGCAAGAUAGCCAGGCAUAAAAAAUUUCUAUUGAUUAAGUCCAUUGCGCAUCCAUGCUACAUUUUAAUACAAGAGGUCAUAUAUGGUACAGAUAAAAUUCCAAAAUGAGACUACUUCCAUAGAGAGUCUAGACACCUACAUCUGGCAACCCACAACAAAAUAAUAUAUUUACCAAAGUCAUCCAAAAAUAGUGUGCCCCCAUAAAAACAUAUAAUAAAGACCAUUUUCAUAACAAAAUCGGAUUAAUGACAUAAAAAUGACAAGGUUACCUAUAAUACAAUAUGAUAAACAGACCCAAAUGACACAUAAUACAAAAGUAAAAUAAGAAUAAAAUAAUAUUCCGUCCAAAAUGUACACCUAUGAUAAUCCAGAUAUCAUGGAUGCACAUGCAUAAAAUCAGGAAAGUGCAUAAGUGCAAAAAUCGUACUCAAUGAUGUCUCAGAAAGGGGCCUCAGAGACUGAUAUAACUGCUUUUGCUGAUCCAUUAUAUUUUGAGCUUGAAGCAUGGUUCCUGAUAUCAGACCUGAUGCUUGAAGCUGCAUAUCUCGUUGCAGUGGAUUUGACUGCUGUUGCAAACCCAUUUGUUGCAUCGGUGCAGACUGUGAUUGAAUCUGUGACAUCAUUUGUUGCUGCGAUGCCUGAGGUUGUGACUGCUGUCCUUGAGUCGGUAACAUGUUAGAUGCAUUCUGAUGUCGUUGUUGCUGCACCUGAAUCUUGGAUUGUUGCAACAAGUGUACAGAGUGCUGAUUUGGUUGCAUACUAGAAUUACCACUUUGAGUUCCGAGGUGCUGCUGUUGCUGUAACCCAGUAACAUUAUUAUGCAGGUCCAAUUGUUGCUGAUGGAUAUUAGAAAGGUUGCUUUGCUGCUGUUGGUGUAACCCAGUAACAUUAUUCUGAAUGUUCUGUGCUAAAAGUGGUUGGCGUCCUUGAGAUUGAUUAGCUGGCAACGGCAUAGAGUGUGAUUGCCCUUGAUUGGGGACUUGGGGUUGCAUACCGGAAGACCCUACUCAAGUAAAUAGCAAGAAUAAACACCACACAAACAAGCGUCAAAACAAGAAUACAAUAAAUGUCAUUUGUACUCAUCAUUUGAUCCAUUAAAUAACAGCAACUAAAGAUAUCAAGAACGAAUCAUCUCAGUUAAGAAAUGCAGGAGUAAUUAAGAAAAAGAACGAACGAUUCUCGCAAUAAAUUAACCAUCAAGAAGUAAGCUAGCCGGGAGAGAAAAGGGCAGUUUUCAAUAGCUGUUUUUACCUGGAUCAGGGGGCCUGUUGCUGUUACCAGCAGAGUUAGAUUGUAAAGGAUUGCCCAUUGAAUUCUGAUACUUGGUCUCCAUUGUGAGCAUCUUCAGAGAAAUUUUCCGUAGAUAAUCCGACUACAAAAAUAAAAAAAUCCAUGCUAAACUUAGAAUACAGUUCUAUCCAAAAUAUGAAGAAAGUUCAAACAUAGACAACAUUUUUUUAAGAAGUCAUAUAUGUUAUAGAUAGGUAAGUAUUUAAGUACGCAAACAUUUCGUGCACCAUAAGAAAUCAGAACUCCGGAAUUAUGGAAGCACCUGGCUUGUGGCUGCAGUAUAAAUCUUUUCCUCAAACCUUACAGCAAUUUUACUGAGUUCCUGUAAUCCAUCUUGUCCGGAGAAGGGAAGAUGCCUCUUCAAUGUAUCCAUUCUAUACAUGCAAUAAAACCAACAUCAAUUACUGACUACCAAAACGGGGGUAGCAUUCAUAGCAAAACUGGAUUCGUAUACAAUCCACUAAAAUAUGUAUUAAGUUUGCAUCCCUCUCGCCAUAGUUUAGAUUAGAUUACGCUAAAUUAGAGUACUGCUUGAAACAAAAAUAAAAAUUUGACAAAGAAAAACACUUACAUCUUGUUGACAAUUCUUUGCCUUGAAUCAGCCUGCAGCUGACUCCUCCAAUCGCCGGCAUCCAUGGCGGCCUCUCCAACUUGAUAAGGCCUCCACUUAUUGGUAUCCAUCAAAUCCAAUGAACCCAACAAAACUGCCAAAAACAAAAGCACAGGACUGAGCAACUUCAACGAAAACCUACGAAAAUGGCACAAAAAUUCGUACAAAAGCUAGCUAUUCGAACGACGAUACAGUUUAUAAUUACGCAGGCAUUUUUUUGCAUCAGAAAUUGCAUUCAUUCAAGCUGAUUCUAAACACGAUUUAGGCACCAUGAAAAAUCAAAACUUGCAAUUCACAUACAAUCGAAAUCCCGAUACCAUUUACACAAUCAGAUCACAAAAACACCAAAAGUAACGAAUUUUCCACAAAACCCACGAUCGAUCAACAUCUAAAACAAAAACCCAACAAAAAUUGACCAAAAAGUUACCUCUUUUCUUUCAGAACAGGAGAGUUGAAGAUUGAAAUGUUCAGGUAGCCUGGAGUGAAACAAUGGAGAAAUUGCAGAACUGGGAAAUCGGGGGAUUGGGAAAGGAAGGAGGGUUCUUGAUCAAAAGCUUCAAACUUUGAGAAGAUUGAAUGGAUUGAUGCAUCCGACUGUGGUCUUUUUAGUUUGAAGUAGGAAGGGAGAGACAACAAAUAUCCUAUUUUAACCAAUGUCUGAUGUUUUAGGUUUUUUUAAUUUAUUUUUGAAUUUUGAAUUUUUUAGGGACAAAAUGACAAUAAAACCCUUGUCCUUAGGACUUUAUAAGUUGCCACUUACCACUUUAUCCUAAUCCUUCUAGGCUUUCUAGUCAAAUUCCAAUAAGAUAGGAAUAUUUCCAAUUGAGUCAAAAGAAGAAAGUAAUCUUCUUUAUAACUAGUUUUUCGGUACGCACUUAAAUACGCGAAUUGACUUUUAAAUGCUAAUUAAUGUGUUGGCUUCAUUAGUUUUAUGUCUUAUGUCAUCACUUUGAAACUUAUUUAUUUGUACUGAAUAAGAAAUUGCUAUAUAUGGUGUAAUAAGUUUGUGUCUCUAACAUUAUUGAUGUAAAUAGACUGAAUUUCUUAUAUUUUUACAAUUUUAAAUUUAUUAUUAUAUAACUUUACACUUUAUUGCUUUUCAAAGAAGACAGAACAAGGAGGAGAUCAAUUAUUCCUCAAUUAAUCUACUUCUUGACUUUUUUGUAUUAAAUUGCAUAUAGUAAGCGUCACGUAAUUUUCAUUUCCAUGUGUUAAUAAAUAUAUGAAUCCAAAUGAUUUCGCAUGUGAGUAAAUACAUGUGGUUGGCAUGAAAUCCAAAUGUCUCUUCAGUUCCAAUAUAACCUCCUCUUGUCCCAUGAGAUUUUGAAACCAUUCCUCAUCCGACGAAGUGGAGAUCAAAGAAUCAAAGAACCAUUAGUACAAAGGUAGAAUACAACCAAACUCUAGGUAUAGCAAUUUUUUUCUCUCUAACAAAAGCCAAUACAUGCAGAUGAUGCUUUAUCACAGUGACGAAAAGCAAUUAUGUCUAUACAUCCCUACCAACCUCUUACCCCUAACAAAAGCCAAUACAUUGAUAUUGUCAACCCUUCUAAAGUCAUCACAUUUUUAUUCAGAGAAUGGAGGAGAGAAGCUGGAGUAGCAUAUGAGGCCAUGAGAACAUGGAAAUUCAGACCAAAGAAGCAUAAAAACCAUAUGGAAAAGAUGAUGAUGCAUCAGGAACAAUUGACAAACUUGAUAGAAAAGAUGUGAUGCGCAAACACGACGCCUUCAGGUUGGGGGGGGCCUUUGUGGUCUGAGAUCGACUUGGUCUCCAUUGUGAAUUAUGGAAGUACCUGGGUUGUCGCUGCAGUAUACUAAUACAAGGAGGGAGGGACGGAGGGAGGGACGGAGGGCCGGAGGGAGAGAGAGAGAGAGAGAGAGAGAGAGAGAGAGUAAAACUGAUGAUAAAUCAUUCCCAUAGCAUACCAUGUAAGUAAUUAAACAUUUCUACCGUUCCAAACACACAAACAACGUUAUAAAAAUGCAGUCCGUUAAUUAUUGACAAAUAGCUAGAAAUCUUUCAAACUGCUGUCCAUUGCAGUUGCGGUUUCUUCAUUUUGUUGAAGCUCGCCAGCCUCUCUACAAUGGUGCAAUCCACUUUACAAUGCACCGUGCACUGCCCAUCGCACUUCCUGUUUCACUGCCCUGGCAUCAUCAGCAGGAUCCGCAUAUGUUUGACAAUAUUUUUCUGCGUAGUACGUUGCAAAUGAUAUAAAUUCUUCCAGCGUCACAUCCUUCUUGCCCUUGUUUCUUCUUCUAGCAGCAGCAGUGGCAGGAGUAGCAGCACCACACCGAUGACAACGCCCAGCCUUCCACCUCGCAGCAGCAAAUAGUAUCGGCAAUCC
rnacentral:lncRNA from 1 species